rnacentral:rRNA from 1 species
AGAACCGCAUGAUUCUGUUAUUAAAGGUUAAAAACACUGGUGGAUGGGCUUACGGUGCAUUUAGCUGGUUCGGUGAGGUAACGGGCCCACCAAGGCGAUGAUGCAUAGCUGGUCUGAGAGGAUGAACAGCCACAUUGGGACUGAGACACGGGCCCAGACUCCUACGGGAGGCAGCAGUAGGGAAUUUUCGGCAAUGGGGGAAACCCUGACCGAGCAACGCCGCGUGAGUGAAGAAGGUCUUCGGAUUGUAAAGCUCUGUUGUAAGGGAAGAAAUGUACUGUGAGAAACAGUACUUGACGGUACCUUACCAGAAAGCUACGGCUAACUACGUG